AGCACAUAUACCGAGGGCAGCAUAUCGACAUUGACUUAUUUUCUCAUGUCAGUUGCUCCUCAGUCGGGGGAUAAAAUCUCUGGAGUCCCCUGAGGAGCCGUCCUCCCUCCUCUGGCUGUUCCUGUAAAACUUCCCUAAAGGCAGGCGUCUAGCAGGCAUCCUUACCAGAUGCCCUCAACACACCCCAACUGGCUCCUUUCUACGCAAAGGAGCAGCACUCCGAGCUUUUCAUGGAUGACUGAGCUUCUUACCCUCUCUAAGGGAGACACCAGCUCCCCUCCUGAGGAAACCCACUUUGGCCGCAUGUAUCCGUGACCUAGUUAUUUCGGUCAAGACCCAUCCUUCUUGACCCUCGGUGAAGACAGGAAAGAAGAUUGACCGGUAGACCGAGAGCUUUGCCCUACGGC
ensembl:lncRNA